AGGCAGGCGGCAGGCCUAACACAUGCAAGUCGAGCGGUAGCACAAGAGAGCUUGCUCUCUGGGUGACGAGCGGCGGACGGGUGAGUAAUGUCUGGGAAACUGCCUGAUGGCGGGGGAUAACUAGUGGAAACGGUAGCUAAUACCGCAUAACGUCGCAAGACCAAAGUGGGGGCCCUUCGGGCCUCACGCCAUCAGAUGUGCCCAGGUGGGAUUAGCUGGUAGGUGAGGUAACGGCUCACCUAGGCGACGAUCCCUAGCUGGUCUGAGAGGAUGACCAGCCACACUGGAACUGAGACACGGUCCAGACUCCUACGGGAGGCAGCAGUGGGGAAUAUUGCACAAUGGGCGCAAGCCUGAUGCAGCCAUGCCGCGUGUGUGAAGAAGGCCUUCGGGUUGUAAAGCACUUUCAGCGAGGAGGAAGGGUAAUGUGUUAAUAAGACAUUGCAUUGACGUUACUCGCAGAAGAAGCACCGGCUAACUCCGUGCCAGCAGCCGCGGUAAUACGGAGGGUGCAAGCGUUAAUCGGAAUUACUGGGCGUAAAGCGCACGCAGGCGGUUUGUUAAGUCAGAUGUGAAAUCCCCGCGCUCAACGUGGGAACGGCAUUUGAGACUGGCAAGCUAGAGUCUUGUAGAGGGGGGUAGAAUUCCAGGUGUAGCGGUGAAAUGCGUAGAGAUCUGGAGGAAUACCGGUGGCGAAGGCGGCCCCCUAGACAAAGACUGACGCUCAGGUGCGAAAGCGUGGGGAGCAAACAGGAUUAGAUACCCUGGUAGUCCACGCUGUAAACGAUGUCGAUUUGGAGGUUGCGCCCUUGAGGGGUGGCUUCCGUAGCUAACGCGUUAAAUCGACCGCCUGGGGAGUACGGCCGCAAGGUUAAAACUCAAAUGAAUUGACGGGGGCCCGCACAAGCGGUGGAGCAUGUGGUUUAAUUCGAUGCAACGCGAAGAACCUUACCUACUCUUGACAUCCAGAGAACUUUCCAGAGAUGGAGGGGUGCCUUCGGGAGCUCUGAGACAGGUGCUGCAUGGCUGUCGUCAGCUCGUGUUGUGAAAUGUUGGGUUAAGUCCCGCAACGAGCGCAAGC
rnacentral:rRNA from 1 species